UACGGAGGGUGCAAACGUUGCUCGGAAUCAUUGGGCGUAAAGCGCACGUAGGCGGUCCAGCAAGUCGGGUGUGAAAGCCCUCGGCUUAACCGGGGAAGUGCAUUCGAAACUACUGGACUUGAGUACUGAAGAGGAUCGCGGAAUUCCCGGUGUAGAGGUGAAAUUCGUAGAUAUCGGGAGGAACACCAGUGGCGAAGGCGGGUUGCUGGGCCGACACCUGACGCUGAUGCGCGAAAGCCAGGGGAGCGAACGGGAUAGAAACCC
rnacentral:rRNA from 1 species